rnacentral:rRNA from 1 species
UACGUAGGUGGCAAGCGUUGUCCGGAAUUACUGGGUGUAAAGGGCGUGUAGGCGGGAUAGCAAGUCAGAUGUGAAAUUCCGGAGCUUAACCCCGGCACUGCAUCUGAAACUGUUAUUCUUGAGUGUCGGAGAGGAAAGUGGAAGUCCCAGUGUAGCGGUGAAAUGCGUAGAGAUUGGGAGGAACACCAGUGGCGAAGGCGGCUUUCUGGACGAUAACUGACGCUGAGGCGCGAAAGCGUGGGGAGCAAACAGG